UGCCCUGUGACUAUAAGUUUAACGGCCGCGGUAUUUUGACCGUGCGAAGGUAGCGCAAUCACUUGUCUUUUAAAUGGAGACCUGUAUGAAUGGCAUAACGAGGGCUUAGCUGUCUCCUUUUUCAAGUCAAUGAAAUUGAUCUCCCCGUGCAGAAGCGGGGAUAGUUACAUAAGACGAGAAGACCCUAUGAAGCUUUAGAUGUAAGACAGAUCAUGUUAAACACUCCUUGAUAAAGAUUAAAACCAAAUGAACCCUGUCCCAAUGUCUUUGGUUGGGGCGACCGCGGGGAAACAAAAAACCCCCACGUGGAAUGGGAGCAC
rnacentral:rRNA from 1 species